AUUGAACGCUGGCGGCAGGCCUAACACAUGCAAGUCGAACGAGUGGCGGACGGGUGAGUAAUGUCUGGGAAACUGCCUGAUGGAGGGGGAUAACUACUGGAAACGGUAGCUAAUACCGCAUACCAUCGGAUGUGCCCAGAUGGGAUUAGCUAGUAGGUGGGGUAAAGGCUCACCUGGGCGACGAUCCCUAGCUGGGCUGAGAGGAAGACCAGCCAACAUGGAACUGAGACACGGUCCAGACGCCUACGGGAGUCAGCAGUGGGGAAUAUUGCACAAGGGGGGCAAGCCUGAUGCAGACAUGCCGCGUGUAGGAAGAAGGCCUUCGGGUUGUAAAGUACGUUCAUCGGGGAGGCGGUACCCGCAGAAGAAGCACCGGCUAACUCCGUGCCAGCAGCCGUGGUAAUAC
rnacentral:rRNA from 1 species